rfam:Gavia stellata contig43291, whole genome shotgun sequence.
GGUGAGUUAGCUCAAAUGGUAGAGCGCUUGCUUAGGAUGUGAGAGGUAGUGGGAUCGAUGCCUGCAUCCUCCA